rnacentral:rRNA from 1 species
UACGUAGGGUCCGAGCGUUAAUCGGAAUUACUGGGCGUAAAGCGUGCGCAGGCGGUUUUGUAAGCCAGAUGUGAAAUCCCCGGGCUUAACCUGGGAAUGGCAUUUGGGACUGCAAGGCUGGAGUACGGCAGAGGGAGGUGGAAUUCCAGGUGUAGCAGUGAAAUGCGUAGAGAUCUGGAGGAACACCGAUGGCGAAGGCAGCCUCCUGGGCUAGUACUGACGCUCAUGCACGAAAGCGUGGGGAGCAAACAGG